CACACGACUCUCGGCAACGGAUAUCUCGGCUCUCGCAUCGAUGAAGAACGUAGCAAAAUGCGAUACCUGGUGUGAAUUGCAGAAUCCCGUGAACCAUCGAGUUUUUGAACGCAAGUUGCGCCCGAGGCCUUUUGGUUGAGGGCACGUCUGCCUGGGCGUCACGC
rnacentral:rRNA from 2 species